rnacentral:lncRNA from 1 species
CUGAAAAGCUGGUAUGAACUCUAUCUAUUUUGUUUUUGUAAAUAUGACUAGCUUGUCGACCCAGAUUUAGCUUUGUUGUGAGAGAACCAUGUUCGCAAUGACAACUUAGAGAUCAUAGUUUCUGAUGCCAUGCUUAUUUAGCUGAGAGCUUAUAAUGGUUUGUCUUGAAUGCCAACAUAGAUUUUGAGAUGACUAUGAUGUAGUAUGAUAGGAUGGUAUUCUCCUUUGA